AUACGUAGGGGGCGAGCGUUGUCCGGAAUUAUUGGGCGUAAAGGGUGCGUAGGCGGUCUUUUAAGUCAGAUGUGAAAGACCACAGCUUAACUGUGGGGUUGCAUUUGAAACUGGAAGGCUUGAGUAUCGGAGAGGGUAGUGGAAUUCCCGGUGUAGCGGUGAAAUGCGUAGAUAUCGGGAGGAAUACCAGUGGCGAAGGCGCCUACCUGGACGAAAACUGACGCUGAGGCACGAAAGCUGGGGCAGCAAACAGGAUUAGAUACCCUGGUAGUCCUAGCUAUAAACGAUGGGUACUAGGUGUAGGGGUUUCGAUACCUCUGUGCCGGAGUUAACGCAAUAAGUACCCCGCCUGGGGAGUACGGUCGCAAGACUAAA
rnacentral:rRNA from 1 species